GGUGGGGCCUCAGGCUAGGGCGACAGUGGUGGGUGGGCUGACCUGCCAGCCUCAAUUUCAUCUAAAGUUGGCUGGCUUCAUGCCCAACCUGGUGUGUUGCAAGGGCAGGUGGGUGGACAUGCCCUAUGAGGUGGGGACAGGUGUGGGCAAAGCGCAAAGACCUGGAAAAAGACAGAUGUUCUUUCUUAUUUCAGCUUGCAUUUUAACUAAUUAAACUCCACACUUUAAGCUGUUCAGAUUUAAAGGGGACACCCAUUUUCUACGGCUUAGUUUCCUCAUUUAAAAGGCUUAUGCUGAAAAUGGCAUGAAGCCUUCAGAGGACACCCCUGAGCCCAUCUUUUCCAUCUCACCAUGUACAGCACAGACCGCACUUGCCCUGACUACACAGGCAGAAAACAAAUGGAUAAGACCCCAAGAUUCCCAGAGACGGAGAGAACUUUGUCUUUCUAAGCCUACUUGACUUGACUUUCCGUGAUAUCGCUGGGAAGUUUCUGACAGAGAAACCUCUUGGGAAAGAGAUCACUUUUGAAUCUGUCACCUUGUUCUGAAAUUCCUACCAUAGUUUACAACACAGCUCCAGGGGUGCUUUCCUAAUAAGCCAAGGCAGGAAUGAAUGCGUUUUAUCACUUGUCUGUCUCCGGCUCACUAUGCUUGACCAUCUGGAAGUCUUCAGCCACUUGAAAGAGAAGAGGUCUUCCUGGCAUGAGGAGGCUCAGCCCCUACAGGCUAGCCCUGUACUGGAACACUACGCUUUUACUGGAACCCCAGGAGCUGACAGCUGCUGCACAAUGUUAAUGGCUACCGCUUUCCAGACACUUCUCUGCUAACUGCCACACUCGGCCCUCGGUCCACUCUUCAACAUGGGUGAGACUAUGUCACGUGUGCUUCCGUGCUCCUCUGCAGGGAGCCCCAGGAAGCUCUACGUGCCUGUCACUUGGCUUUAGAAAACACAUAGGCCCAGAGUGAGCCCUGCACUAUGAAUCCAGCAAGUGGCAUCUCAGGAGACCAGGCCCAUCCACCCAGAAUGUCGGUACAGAGCUUUCUGCAGAACUUCUGGUUUGGUUCCAAGGGAAGCAAUUCACAGGACCUAAGAGGAGAUGAACAGGUCUCCUAGAGGCUACAAAGUGCAGAACAGAAUCCAGGCCUCUCACACCCACAGCUCCUGUCCUGGAAACAAAUCCUCUUCAGGUAAAAAUGCACCUCUAGAAGUUGAAGACCCCAGAUUUCUGAUCAGCUUGAUGUCAACCCCCAUCCAAAGUGUCCAGCGGCACCUUUAAAGAAACCUCAGCUUGCUGAACCAACUGCCUUCCUUUGCUUUUCCUGUCUAGUCUUCUGAUUACCUAGGAGGAUUCCUGGUUCCAUCUGAACCCUCUCACUUUCCUUUGGGCCUGCAAAGAAAGGAACAACCCCUCUGGGAGCUCAAGUCAAACAUCGCCUUCCAUUUCUUUUGGAGCUAGAAGAGAGGAACUUUCCAAACUCUUCUUAAAUAAGAAGAAAAGAAACUCUCCUCUUUCAACAGGUAUUUCCAGCUGCUGGCAAGGGAAUUACAAGAAAUCUAAAUACAAUAGCCUGUCUCCUGGCAGCUGCUGGUUACCCUGGCAACCUGGAGCUUUUACAGACUGCCUUGGAUACAAGAGCCUUGGAGACAGACUUCUUAAGCAGCCACAUUCUUCAGAACUGACUCCUCCAGGGAAAAGUGAUUCCUCUUGUAGAAAAGAACCUUCCUAAAACUUCAGUGCAACAGGAAAACUUUAAAUCACCACUUAAAAAACUAGUGCAACUCUUGUUCAGCAUUUUUAAUCACACCAACCCAUCAUGUGGUGAACAUGGACAAUUUUGAUUUAAAUGGUACAAAUGAACAAAGCUAUACACUAAGGAAAGGAUAAAAAAGGAAGAUAAAACCAAGUGGACCAACAAAUGGAGACAGUCAUAAGGAAAUGUAUUUGGGAUGGUGGUUCACCAGCCUGAGCUAGAACAGACUCAGAAAAUACCAGUUCCCAAGUUCUGCCCCAAGAGGUUUUGAAUUUGUGAGUCUGGGAUGAAACCUGAAUUACACUCUUGAAGCUUUUCCAUAUCUUGAUCCUUUUCUGGUAAGCAUUCAGAUCAUGGGACCAACAAUCUGAAGACUUCUCUUGCUCUGCUUCCCAUUCUACUCCAAGGGUCUCCUGAGUCAGGUGCCUUGGUUUCCGCCAACCCAGAAUUCUAGAACCAGAAUCACAGGAGAACAUUUUCUUGGAAGACAAACAUCAAUCUAAAGCAAGCGCCAAGAAGCUGUUAACCUCAGACGUCUCUGUAUCAGUCCUCCACUCAUAUGUCUUGGCACAUUUGAGAUUCUCAAUCCAAGCUCAAAGAACGGAACAGCAUAGAGUGGAAUACAAUGGAAUUUGUACAUUGGUAAAGGGCGGAGCAACCACAAAGCACCUCAUGAAUACAGGAAGGUCACUACCAGGCUCUUCUCCACCUCCCAGGGCAUGUGCUUGGGAAAAAGGUUACCUGAUCACCACUGCCUUUGUCUAUCAAUUGGCUCAGGGCUGCAUUAAUCCCUGCUUAGUUUCUUCCCCACCUCCCUUACCCCAUCCUCAGUCUGGCUGCCCAGAUGAUGUCAGCAGUAACCAAUCUUGCAGCCAGUGCAGUCAGCCGGCUGGCUCGCUUCCAUGUCUAAAGCCAGACACUUUAGAAAGAACUGGAAAAUAUUACCAGCCACCCACUCCACUCCACUCCCCCUCCCCCAUUCACUCACACUCCCCAGCCACAUACACCUAACCCCAAGAGACAGCAGCUGGGAAGUACUGAAACCAAAGAAAGAAGAAACUGGAAUUGUAGCCCGGCAGGCCUCAUGGGCUGAGCCACGAGACUCCUGCAGGCCUGAGAAUGGAGUCUGGGAGAGAAAAUGUUGGCCUGCGGGGUGCACAGCCAGCUGCCCACCCUCCUCCUGUACCUCUCACAGCUCCAAGGGCUUGGCCAUGUGGUGCCAAUGAAACGGGCAUGGAGGGGUCAGCACCGCUGCUUGUGAGAGCGCCACACAGAAGAUCACCAUCAUUUCUUUGAAGUUGCCAGAUUGCCUUGCAGGGACACA